GUUUCUUUUUUUAUAUAAAGGUUGCCUGCUGAGAGCUGAUUUUGCUAGGCUGUUUUAAAGGGAGGUCUGAAGACUUCUGCUUUAAAAGAAAUGGCCUUAGAACACAGCUCUGCCAUGAAUGAUAGCUGUAGAUCGGACAAGCCUAUCUGUUUUAUCUGGGGAUGUCAGCUAAAUGACGAGAACCGAACCUACACAUUUGACAUCCCAGAGGACUGGUCGUAUGAGCAGCAAUUAACUCUGAGGACGAUCUGUCUAGGUGAAAAUGCCAAGGAUGAAUUCAAUAUCGUGGAGAUUUUACCUCCAAAGGAUAGCAAGGAAUCGACUCCAGUGCACAUAGCAACACUGAAGCUUUCAGUGCUCCCAAUGACAACCCUAGCAGGAUUUGAGAUGACUCCUCCCAUCACAUUCAGACUGAAAUCAGGAUCUGGACCGGUCUUCCUUGCUGGGCAACAUGUCACAGUCGGCUUACAGUGGGAUGAAGAGGAGGAGGAGGAAGAAUCAUCAUCAUCAUCAGAGGAAGAUGAGGAGGAACAGAGUUCUUCUAAGGAAGGGUCUCCCGUAAAUCCUGUCAGGCAGCCACCUGCCAAACGUACAUUUGCUGCCAAGAAAGAACAAGAACAGGCUGCCCAGGAACAGCCUCAGGGGAAAAGAACUGGAAAAGGGAGGAAGCCUGCUGCAAAAGGAGAACUAAGAGUAUGAGUUCUGAUGGAAGGUGAGGAUGGAAUGGACUUCCUCAUGCCUUUUCAGAGAGGAAAGACUGGAAGAGAAGCGUUGGAUCUAUUUAAUGCCAUGAGAAAGGAAUAAAAUGCAUAUAGUCCCUAUUUUGAA